rnacentral:rRNA from 1 species
CCUACGGGAGGCAGCAGUGAGGAAUAUUGGUCAAUGGGCGAGAGCCUGAACCAGCCAAGUCGCGUGAGGGAGUACUGCCCUAUGGGUUGUAAACCUCUUUUGUCGGGGAGCAAAAGCCGGACGUGUCCGGCUGUGAGAGUACCCGAAGAAAAAGCAUCGGCUAACUACGUGCCAGCAGCCGCGGUAAUAUGGAGGAUGCGAGCGUUAUCCGGAUUUAUUGGGUUUAAAGGGUGCGCAGGCGGAUUUUUAAGUCAGCGGUAAAAUCGUGGGGCUCAACCCCAUCCAGCCGUUGAAACUGGGGAUCUAGAGUGUGCGAGAGGUAUGCGGAAUGCGUGGUGUAGCGGUGAAAUGCAUAGAUAUCACGCAGAACCCCGAUUGCGAAGGCAGCAUACCGGUGCACAACUGACGCUCAGGCACGAAAGCGUGGGUAUCGAACAGGAUUAGAUACCCCAGUAGUC